GCCCAGACUCCUACGGGAGGCAGCAGUGGGGAAUCUUCCGCAAUGGGCGCAAGCCUGACGGAGCAAUGCCGCGUGAACGAAGAAGGUCUUCGGAUUGUAAAGUUCUGUCCUUAUCGAAGAGAGGGUAUAGAGUGAAAAAUGAUAUACUAGGACGGUAGAUGAGGAGGAAGCCCCGGCUAACUACGUGCCAGCAGCCGCGGUAAUACGUAGGGGGCGAGCGUUAUCCGGAUUCACUGGGUGUAAAGGGAGCGUAGACGGCCAUGCAAGCCAGGGGUGAAAGCCCGGGGGCCAACCCCGGGACUGCCCUUGGAACUGCAUGGCUGGAGUGCGGGAGGGGCAGGCGGAAUUCCUGGUGUAGCGGUGAAAUGCGUAGAUAUCAGGAGGAACACCGGUGGCGAAGGCGGCCUGCUGGACUGCAACUGACGUUGAGGCCCGAAAGCGUGGGGAGCAAACAGGAUUAGAUACCCGGGUA
rnacentral:rRNA from 1 species